rnacentral:rRNA from 1 species
GAUGAACGCUGGCGGCGUGCUUAACACAUGCAAGUCGAACGAAGCACUUUACUUGAUCUUUUCGGAGUGAUUGUUUUGUGACUGAGUGGCGGACGGGUGAGUAACGCGUGGGUAACCUGCCUCACACAGGGGGAUAACAGUUGGAAACGGCUGCUAAUACCGCAUAAGCGCACAGUACCGCAUGGUAUGGUGUGAAAAACUCCGGUGGUGUGAGAUGGACCCGCGUCUGAUUAGCUAGUUGGCAGGGUAACGGCCUACCAAGGCGACGAUCAGUAGCCGACCUGAGAGGGUGACCGGCCACAUUGGGACUGAGACACGGCCCAAAACUCCUACGGGAGGCAGCAGUGGGGAAUAUUGCACAAUGGGGGGAAACCCUGAUGCAGCGACGCCGCGUGAGCGAAGAAGUAUUUCGGUAUGUAAAGCUCUAUCAGCAGGGAAGAAGAAAUGACGGUACCUGACUAAGAAGCACCGGCUAAAUACGUGCCAGCAGCC